rnacentral:rRNA from 1 species
UUGUGUAAUGAUCCCUCCUCAAGUUUCUUUCCUCGGAACUUUUUUCAUCAAAAAAACCAAUUUCCCUAUUUCUAUGAUAGCGUUUGUUUU